rnacentral:rRNA from 1 species
AUGGAGACGGAGGCGGGCGGACGCAGACCUGGUUCCGGCUCCAAGAAGAGGAAGAGAGCGCCGCUCGAGGCAGCGGCCGAGGGCAGAGCCGCCGGCAACCAAGGGCCCCAGCCCGGAGCGGGAGAAGACGAAGACGAAGGGGCUGCCGAGGACCGCAUCAGCCAGAUCCCCGACGCUGUGCUGGGCGAGAUCGUCUCCCUCCUCCCCACCAAGGACGGCGCCCGCACCCAGGUCCUCGCGUCCCGGUGGCGCCACCUCUGGCGCUCCGCCCCUCUCAACCUCGACUGCGGCGGCCUCCUCCCAAUCCCAACCCACCACUCCGAUCUCGAUCGCCUCGUCUCGCGCAUCCUCGCCGCCCACACGGGCCCCGGGCGCCGCCUCUGCGUGCCCUGGAGGAACGGCCGCAAGGCCGCCAAGCUGGAAUCCUGGCUCCGGUCGCCCGCCCUCGACAACCUCGAGGAGCUCGAGUUCAACAACCAAUCACCAGGAUCCCUCUCGCGCCUUCCGGCGUCCGCCUCCCGGUUCGCCGCCACGCUCCGCCUCGUCAGAAUCGAAUCAUGCCACCUCCCCGACGACACCGUCCAGUCGCUUCGUUUCCCCCAGCUCAAGCACCUUGCACUCGUCAAGGUCGUCAUCUCGGAGGGCGCAUUGGCCAGCCUCAUUCUUGCGUGCCCCGCCAUGGAGUGCUUGCUGCUUUGGUACAUCUCCGGAGUCCGUCGCGCCCGGAUCAGCUCCCCUCGGAUCAGAAGCAUCGGCGUUAUCGCUCUAGUUGGUUCAAACUCCAUGGGCAUGCCCAACUUGGACGAACUCGUGAUCGAGAAUGCCCCAUCUCUUGAAAGGCUGCUCCACUUCAACCUACGCGAUGACCUGCGAGUAUCGGUGAUCGACGCGCCUAAGCUGGAGACCUUCUGCAUCGUUCAGAACGAUCGUUUCAGCUUCGGCAGGAUCGUCGAGCAUGUAGGUGCUGAUAGCCCGACAACGAUGGCGCGCACCGUCAAGAUCUUGGCAUUCAGUGUGCGCUUUUUUAGUCUGGAUAUGAUUGUUGAUUUCAUGAGACUCUUUCCCUGCCUGGAGAAGCUGUACAUACAGAAUAAGUGUAAUACUCUUUUCCGGUCAAUGUCAAGGAAGAAAGGGCCGAAGAAUUGCUGGCGUCGCAAACAUCGGAACCUUGAUAUCACAUGCCUUGAUACUCAUCUGAAGACAAUAGUGUUGGAAUCCUAUCGGGGGGUUCUGUCUGAAGUUAACUUCGCCACAUUCUUCGUACUGAACGCGAGAGUGCUCGAGUCGAUGACGUUUCAGGUGAAAAACAUCGACGAGGAGUUCAUCGCGAAACAGCAGAAGUUGCUUCAGGUGGAGAACAGGGCCUCAAGGGGUAUUGAGUUUCACUUCACGGAUGAUAGAUGUCUUCGGGAUUUUCCGGAUAUCCGCCACGUCCGUGAUUUGGAUCUGACCGAUCCCUUUGUGCGUUGA